UACGGAGGAUGCAAGCGUUAUCCGGAAUGAUUGGGCGUAAAGCGUCCGCAGGUGGCUAUGUAAGUCUGCUGUUAAAGAGUGAGGCUCAACCUCAUAAGAGCAGUGGAAACUACAUAGCUAGAGUGCGUUCGGGGCAGAGGGAAUUCCCGGUGUAGCGGUGAAAUGCGUAGAUAUCAGGAAGAACACCGGUGGCGAAAGCGCUCUGCUAGGCCGCAACUGACACUGAGGGACGAAAGCUAGGGGAGCGAAUGGG
rnacentral:rRNA from 1 species